GACGAACGCUGGCGGCGUGCUUAACACAUGCAAGUCGAACGGAAAGGCCCUGCUUUUGUGGGGUGCUCGAGUGGCGAACGGGUGAGUAACACGUGAGUAACCUGCCCUUGACUUUGGGAUAACUUCAGGAAACUGGGGCUAAUACCGGAUAGGAGCUCCUGCUGCAUGGUGGGGGUUGGAAAGUUUCGGCGGUUGGGGAUGGACUCGCGGCUUAUCAGCUUGUUGGUGGGGUAGUGGCGUACCAAGGCUUUGACGGGUAGCCGGCCUGAGAGGGUGGCCGGGACACUUGGGAAUGAGAACAGGCCACGGCCCGUGGGGGGGGAGAAAGGGGGGAAAUUUGCAAAAGGGGGGGAAGCCUGAGGCCAAAACGGCGGGGGGGGGGAGGGGGCCUGCGGGUUGGAAACCAGUUUCCCCGGGGGAGAAGGGUGAGUGGAGGAAAGGAGAAAAGAAGCACCGGCUAACUUCGUG
rnacentral:rRNA from 1 species